rnacentral:rRNA from 1 species
AAGACCUUGCGCUUUUGGAGCGGCCGAUGCCUGAUUAGCUUGUUGGUAAGGUAAAAGCUUACCAAGGCUUCGAUCAGUAGCUGGUCUGAGAGGACGACCAGCCACACUGGGACUGAGACACGGCCCAGACUCCUACGGGAGGCAGCAGUGGGGAAUUUUGGACAAUGGGGGCAACCCUGAUCCAGCCAUGCCGCGUGAGUGAAGAAGGCCUUCGGGUUGUAAAGCUCUUUCAGCCGGAACGAAACGGUUACGGAUAACACCCGUGACUACUGACGGURCCGGAAGAAGAAGCACCGGCUAACUACGUGCCAGCAGCCGCGGUAAUACGUAGGGUGCGAGCGUUAAUCGGAAUUACUGGGCGUAAAGCGUGCGCAGGUGGUUUUGUAAGUCAGAUGUGAAAGCCCCGGGCUCAACCUGGGAACU